UAAAACGUAGGACGCAAGCGUUAUCCGGAGUUACUGGGCGUAAAGCGCGGGCAGGCGGUCGCGCAAGUCGGACGUGAAAUCACCCGGCUCAACCGGGCGAGGCCGUUCGAAACUGAGCGACUGGAGGGCAGUAGAGGCAGGCGGAAUUCCGGGUGGAGUGGUGAAAUGCGUAGAGAUCCGGAGGAACACCAGAGGCGAAGGCGGCCUGCUGGGCUGCACCUGACGCUGAGCCGCGAAAGCCAGGGGAGCGAACGGGAUUAGAAACCCCGGUAGUCCUGGCCGUAAACGAUGUUCACUGGAUGGCGGCGGGAUUCCGUCGCUGUCGAAGCUAACGCGAUAAGUGAACCGCCUGGGGAGUACGGUCGCAAGGCUA
rnacentral:rRNA from 1 species